rnacentral:ncRNA from 1 species
CGGCGGGGACGGCCCCGCCUUUACACGGGCAAGUGUCGGGACGACCCGG